rnacentral:piRNA from 1 species
UGAGACAAUGAGAUGACCUCCAUCCUUAC